GCCCGGAUAGCUCAGUCGGUAGAGCAUCAGACUUUUAAUCUGAGGGU
rnacentral:tRNA from 1 species